rnacentral:rRNA from 1 species
CUACGGGAGGCAGCAGUGGGGAAUAUUGGACAAUGGGCGAAAGCCUGAUCCAGCCAUGCCGCGUGUGUGAAGAAGGCCUUCGGGUUGUAAAGCACUUUCAGUGGGGAAGAAAGCCUUGGGGCUAAUACCCUCGAGGAAGGACAUCACCCACAGAAGAAGCACCGGCUAACCCCGUGCCAGCAGCCGCGGUAAUACGGAGGGUGCGAGCGUUAAUCGGAAUUACUGGGCGUAAAGCGCGCGUAGGCGGUCUGAUAAGCCGGUUGUGAAAGCCCCGGGCUCAACCUGGGAACGGCAUCCGGAACUGUCAGGCUAGAGUGCAGGAGAGGAAGGUAGAAUUCCCGGUGUAGCGGUGACAUGCGUAGAGAUCGGGAGGAAUACCAGUGGCGAAGGCGGCCUUCUGGACUGACACUGACGCUGAGGUGCGAAAGCGUGGGUAGCAAACAGGAUUAGAUACCCCAGUAGUC